AUGAAUAUGCAACACCCCUGCCAGCACAUUCACGUGACCCGCAGCAGCUGUAUAAAAACAGGUUACGCAACAUAUAAAUACGACCCCAAUUGUGCGAGUCGACACAUCAGCACUACCUACUGACAAGGCAUUCGAGACACAGAUCAACGUAUCGAGCUUGCAUUAUGUUUUACAACUACGUUCUCCUUACUGUCCUUCUUCUCCUCGUUGUCGACUGCUACGGCGACACUCCCUGUCUUAAGAUUGGAGGAACAUGCAUGCUCGUAGAGAUGUGUAAAGAUGGCGGCAUUGUGGCGGGUUUGUGUUUCGGACCCCGAAGCAGGAUGUGCUGCUUAGCUUCAACUCCCUGAGUCGACGGCUUCAGUGAAUGUGUGACAGGGAUCUGUCUCUUCCCUGCGUCACCUGUAAUCCUGACUGAUUAAACAGAUGGAUUAUU